UGCUAGGUGGAGGGAAGGAAGGAGGGAGCCGGGGAGUGGGCCAGGGCAGCAGCCGGGCUGAAGUCGGCUUGGGGAGCCAGAGGGAGCGGAGCGGAACCUGCGGGGCGGAGGUGGCGGCCGCAGCGGCACAGCUGAUAGCAGGAACAGGAUUCAAGUCUUUCAUACCAGGGACCAGGCCAAAACCAGACUGCCACUGCCCCUACUUGGGCCCCACUGUCCCCAGAAAGCAGCUGCUGUGAUCAUGGGCAAUAUCUUUGGAAACCUUCUCAAGAGCCUGAUUGGGAAGAAGGAGAUGCGCAUCCUGAUGGUGGGCCUGGAUGCCGCAAGAAAGACCACCAUCCUAUACAAGCUGAAACUGGGGGAGAUCGUCACCACCAUCCCUGCCAUUGGGUUCAAUGUGGAGACAGUGGAGUAUAAGAACAUCAGCUUCACAGUGUGGGAUGUGGGUGGCCAGGACAAGAUUCGACCCCUGUGGGGACACUACUUCCAGAACACCCAAGGGUUGAUAUUUGUGGUCGACAGCAAUGAGCGGGAGCGAGUAAAUGAGGCCCGGGAAGAGCUGAUGAGAAUGCUGGCGGAGGACGAGCUCCGGGAUGCUGCACUCCUUGUCUUUGCAAACAAACAGGAUCUGCCUAAUGCUAUGAACGCUGCUGAGAUCACAGACAAGCUGGGCCUGCAUUCCCUUCGUCACCGUAACUGGUACAUUCAGGCCACCUGUGCCACCAGCGGGGACGGGCUGUACGAAGGCCUGGACUGGCUGGCCAAUCAGCUCAAAAACAAGAAGUGAGAGCCAGACAGCCCUAACCAAGCGCCCCACCCACCCCGACAUACCUACUGUCACCCUGCCCCUGUCCUACCCCUUCCUCUCCAUUGCAAGUGUGGCCAGGGCCCUGGGUAUCAUGUCCGCAUGCCCAGCAAGAGCCUUGCCUCCCCUGCUUCCCCUCGUUUUUCCUGUCCACCUAUAUGACCAAUCCCUAAUUGCUGUCCUGAUGAUGAGUCAUUCCAAUUUACUGGAUUUAAAACAAAAAAAAAA